rnacentral:rRNA from 1 species
GAACCUGCGGAAGGUCAUUACUAGAGCAAAGGAUAGACAGCGCCCGCGGAGCCUUGCUCCCUGGGGCUACCCUACUUCGGUAAGGUUUAGAGUCGUCGGGCCUCUCGAAGAAGCUCGGUCCUGAACUCCACCCUUGAAUAAAUUACCUUUGUUGCUUUGGCGGGCCGCCUCGUGCCAGCGGCUUCGGCUGUUGCGUGCCCGCCAGAGGACCACAACUCUUGUUUUUAGUGAUGUCUGAGUACUAUAUAAUAGUUAAAACUUUCAACAACGGAUCUCUUGGUUCUGGCAUCGAUGAAGAACGCAGCGAAAUGCGAUAAGUAAUGUGAAUUGCAGAAUUCAGUGAAUCAUCGAAUCUUUGAACGCACAUUGCGCCCUCUGGUAUUCCGGGGGGCAUGCCUGUUCGAGCGUCAUUAUAACCACUCAAGCUCUCGCUUGGUAUUGGGGUUCGCGGUCUCGCGGCCCCUAAAGUCAGUGGCGGUGCCUGUCGGCUCUACGCGUAGUAAUACUCCUCGCGAUUGAGUCCGGUAGGUUUACUUGCCAGCAACCCCUAAUUUUUACAGGUUGACCUCGGAUCAGGUAGGGAUACCCGCUGAACUUAAGCAUAUCAAUAAGCGGAGGAAAAGAAACCAACAGGGAUUACCUCAGUAACGGCGAGUGAAGCGGUAACAGCUCAAAUUUGAAAGCUGGCUCUUUUAGGGUCCGCGUUGU